GGCAAGUUCGGCGCACAGGGCAGAUUCCUCUCAAUUUUUGGUUCUUUUCUUUUCCUUUCAAUUUUUUGUUUUUAAUUCAGCCAAUGAGUGGCUGAUUUCUUUAAUUCUAAUUGAGGAUUGGUUGAAAGUAAGGUUGUUUAAUGGGUUGUGAGAUCUGAACAUAAAUUAUUGUCUUUGGUUUUGUUCAAUAUUUAUGCAAUUGAUACUUUAAUUACAUGAUUACUUUGUUGUUUUGAUCAAAUUGACAAUUUGAUUUUAAUUACAAAGUUAAUUGAUUGUUAGUUGGGAUUAUUUUUAGUCCGUAAUUGCUGGAAAUAUUCUGACCUUAGAACACUUGGCGUAAAAACUAAGGAAUUGCAUGAUCUAGCGUUAUCUCCAUACGUUUGGGUAGCUAGGAUUGGAUCUCUCUAUUUCUUUAUGCAAUUGACAAUUGUUUUGAUGCCUAUGGCCUAAGGACGUUCCUUGGCAAUUUGUUAAUUAGUAAUUAAUUAGAGGACGUUCCCUAAUUAAUUUAAUCAUAAGGAGAGACAUGGUGGUGAGAAGCGUCUUCCACCCCAUAACUAAUCUAUUGAACCAAUCAAGAUAAUUUAAGUUUCAAUGAUCAACCCAAACAACUAAAGUGGAUUCAUAUCUUCAACUAGGUUUUUCUCAUAUUGAUUUACUCUUUUAUUUUAAUUAUUUGCUUUCUAUUAUUACUCUCAUUAUUAGUUACUACAAUCAAUCUCAAACCCCCCAUUUUACUUCUACUGCAAUUUAUUUUUAUUCUGUUUUCAGUUUAUCUCAUUUGAUCCCACUUUCAGUCUUUUAUCUCAUCUUUAAUUUAUUAUUGUUUCAGUUUAUUUUAUUGGUCUUGUUGAGAAAAAUAAAUAGGUAAUCAAUUCUCUGUGGAUUCGAUCCUUUCACCACUAUCUGUAGUUGUAAAAUUGUUGAUAAUCAGAAAGGUUAUUUUUGACCGGUCUCGACAAUCGCUCCUGUCAUUAACCAUGAUGCUUUCACUCUCAUGGACCGUCCUUAGAGGAACGAUGGGAGCCGGAGCGUGAAUUGGGCCAUCAGAGGAGGAGCUCAAGGCAGAACUUCCACCAUAGGAAGAAGAAGAAGAAGAGGAGGAGGAGGAGGAAGUAUUCCUAUUCAUUUCUAUAAAAGGAAAAGCAAGUAGGAAUUACCUUUAAGUAAGGAAGUGUGAAUGGACAAGAGUAGUCGAGUCUUUUCUGAAGCACAAAUAUCAGUUGUGAGUAAAAGUGGUAUUUGGAGGAGGAGAAGGGUUUUUAUACGAUGGUUUCGCGCGACAAGUUUUAAAUGCAGCUCAAGAAACAAGUCAGUCGUCAUUUAUGGUCAGGAGCAGGGAAAGCAAUGCAAGAGUGGAAUGCCAAUCUAAACAUGCCACAUGUCCCAUUACACCUAUAUUCGCGGAGUCCCUUAUCUAUUAACCGAUACUAGUCAGAUUUCCAGGGCAUUUGACAACCACCUCCAUCUUCUUACAAUAUAAAAACUGAUGAACCUGAGAUUAAGGUACACAUUCUUACACAACUACUCUUAAGUUCAAAGCAUUACACUCGCUCUUUUUUUCAAUUUACUGCAUCUUCUUACAAUAUAAAAACUGAUGAACCUGAGAUUAAGGUACACAUUUUUACACAACUACUCUUAAGUUUAAAGCAUUACACUCGCUCUUUUUUUCAAUUUACUGACUUGAGCAUCAGAGUGGCUGCCAUAGAUGCCAAUUAUCUCACUUUCUUUUUCUUGCAGAUUGACCAAUCACAGCGCAAUUUCGUUUUAGUCACAUCAAAAAUAAUAUUAGCAAAUUUAUGAAAAAUAAGGUUACAAGAUGAUUUAUUGAAUUGUUUUACUUUAAUAUUAAAUAUAUUUAUCUAUUAUCACUAUUGAUGAAAAUAUAUACUUACCUUUAAUAAUUCAUAUUGACACUAAUAUAUAUAUUAUUAACACUAAAUAUAUAUAUAUAUAUAUAGAUUAUGUAAAUUUGGAUAGAAUAUCAGUUUAUGUUUAUUUCAUCAAUCAUUUCACAAUACAAUAACGGUUCUACGAACUCAAGUAACUAAUCAUACAUUACAUGAAAAUUCAAUAAAAAUGAUUUGUAAUACUUUUUAUCAAGCAAAAAAAUUAAAUUAAUUGAAAAAAAAUUAUUAUUUAAAAUUAUUUAAUUUAAUAGGAUAAAAUUGUUUCACACUUCAAUAUAAAAUAUAUUUUAUAACAAAUAAUGUUAUCAAAUAAAGUACACAACUUUAUUAUUAAAAGAAACUCUUAUAUAAAUCAAACUCAAUAUAUAAUAAAAACGUACUUUUAUUUUAAAAAUAAAAAAAACUAUAUUUUUCUUCACCAUUUAUCUUAUUGAAUAAUAUAAAAUUAAUACAAAUAAAAAAUAAUUUCUUUUAAUUUUAAUAAUUUUAUAUAAUUUUUAAAAAUUUAUAAUACCAUGAAACAUGGUUAAGCGAUUCUAUUCAUAUUGAAUUUAGCAUCCAAGUGAUUAUAGUGGGCUAAAACAUAUUGAAUAGCGAUGCGAUAUUUUUAAAUAUAAUAUAAUAAAAAGCUAAAUAUAUUUUUAUGAUAUUUUAUUAAUUUUUUGAUAAUAUAAUAUUUAGAGUGAAAAAUAUUUUAAAAUAAUAUUAAAAAAUAUAAAUUAUUGGUUAUAUAAUACUGAAAAAUCGACAAUCAAUAAAUUACAAUAUACAUUUCAAAUUUUUUAAAAUAAAACUUUUAAAAUCUAAUGAAUCAAAUAAUUAUAUUAAAAAAAUUCAAUAUAUUUUAUAAAUUUAAUUAAAAAAUAAAAUUAAAAAUAAUAUAUUUUUAAUAAUUAAUAAAAUAAAAAAUUUAAAAAUAAUUCAAUAUUAAAAUAAUAUUAAGUUGAGAAAUAAUCAUUAAAAUUUAAAUAUCGAUCGAUCUAUAAACCGAAAACAGCAAGUGAAUGGUGAUAAUUUACAUAACUACUUAUAUAUUUUUAUAAAUAAAUUUAUAUAAUUUUAUUAAUUUUAUUGAUAUUAAUGAUUUUGAAUAUUUUUGUAAAUAUUUGAAUAAUAUUAUGUCAAAAUUUAAUUGGUAUUUAGAACAUUAAUUAAAAUGUUAUCAGAUGAUUAGAAAAUAGAUUAUGAAUUUUAAUUAAUUAAUUUAUUAAUUUUGAGAAAGAGAAUCAAUACCUUAGAAUUAUUUUAUCUAAUUUUGAUAAUUAAAAUUAAAUUAUUAAUUUGAGUUAAUUAAAUUUUAUUGAAGUGAAAUCUGAUGACCGCUAGGUCUCGCCACCCCGAUAUAAGGCCUGGCCUAUGAUAGUGACCCUGAUCCAAAGGUUCUAGGGCCUCCUCAACGAGCCGGCCUGGACCGCCUAGCCUUGAGGUCGGGCCUCUCGCGGAUCUCAAUCCUUUCACACCAAGCCCGGCUAGGGACGUGACAGGAGAAAGGAUAGCAGGCCUAGUCACCUUGCAGCCCUGUCUACACGUGCGCCGGGGGAAUUAAAUAGCCGCCUGACGUGGAGAGGACAUCUGAUAGUUUCGUACGUAUGGGCCUGUAUGACAGAGACGAGUGACACUGUAGUGGAGAGGUUGUUAGGCAUGACUAGCAGACAAAAGGAAAGGAAUAAAAGGGAGAAGGCAUGUUCCCCGCACCCAAGCUUAUCCAACCAUUGUGAACCCUAUCCCCUCUAGAUCUUAGAUCAUUAAUUGGCACCGUCUGUGGGAAAGAAGGAGAUCAUUUCAUAACCGGAGUUUCACUCUUACAAAACCCAUUGAGAUCCACAAAUGGCCAACCAUAAUGAAAACAAUAUUGCCAAUACCCUCAAUGACCUGAGCUCUGCCCAGGAGGGGCAACAGUUCUCUUUUUCUAGCCCCGCAACCCAAAUAAUCAACCACCAAUCCCUUUUAACCCAUAGCCGAACCCGGCAGGGAAUGUGCACGGAGCUACCCUGUUCAACCAGGACCUUCAAGCCAUGGCUCUUCAAUUGCAAAACACCGCUCAUUGGCUAGGACAUAUAAUGCAGCUGAGGGGCCUCAAUACCCCAGCGAACGUGUUGCCUGUGGUAGAAGAACCCCAGCCUACCUUCAACCAUCAUCAAACAAAUAGCAGAGAAACCGGGGAAAGAGGCAGAAGAGCCAGCGAAGAAGAAGACCGAAAGCCAGAGUCCAUGGAAGAAGGGUGAGAGAGUUGAUAGAAAAUGACGAGGCAGACAGUUACUCUGCUAGAACUACCGGAGAACGAAGAACGAUGAAUGGAGAGAGGAAUGUCGCGUGGGGAAAAGACCUAGGCAAGAAGAAGAGGAUGUAGAUCAGAAACUGCAGAAGAUGAGAGAACAGCUCCUGCUCGAGUUGGGAGCAAAAGAUCAUAGUCAGACCCUCUGGCCUGCAUCCUCACCCUUCUCAAGAUGGGUGCAGCAAGAGACCAUCCCCAAAAAGUUCAUUAUGCCACCCAUGGCAGCCUACGACGGAGCUGGAAACUUGAGGGAGCAUGUCCUUAACUACAAGACCUUCAUGAAGCUGCAGACCCUAUCGGAUGCCUUGAUGUGCAAGGUAUUCCCUACGAUGCUCACGGGGCCAGCACGGGCGUGGUUCAACAGCCUGAAAGCCGAAAGUAUCAGGAGCUUUGGAGAUUUAGCCAACAUCUUCAUUAGCCGGUUCAUAGCCAGAGUGCCAGUUGACAGGAAAACUAGCUAUUUAGAGACGGUCAGGCAGGGAAGGAAUGAAUCGCUAAGAGAGUAUGUAGCCCGUUUCAAUACGGAGGCCCUGCAGAUUCCCAAGCUGGACGAAAGCAGAGCAGUAGAAGCCAUGCAGAAAGGGACGACCUCCCCAGAGUUUUUUGGCUCGUUACGUAGAAAGCCCCUCACCUCGCUGGCGAAACUAAUGAAGAGGGCAUAAAAGUACAUAAGACAGGACGGUGCCUUAGUGACAAGUAGAUUCGCCAAGGAAGCGGCAGACAGGGGGAGAGCCCCAGAAGAAAGGAGGCCGAAAAGGCAGGAGAAAAAGCAAAACAAAAGGCCUAAGACCUACAUACAACCCUGGGACUGAAGGGACCAAAGACCAUUCCCCCCUCGAGUUCCGGAGCAAAGACUAUUCCCCCCACGAGUCCCUGAAAGCCUGACCCCUCUCAACGCCUCCAGAGCUGAAGUGCUCAUGGCAGUUCAAAACAAAGAAUUCCUCCAAUGGCCAAAACCAAUGAGGGCUGAAGCAAGCCAACGAGAUCCUGACAAGUACUGCCAGUACCAUCGUACACAUGGCCAUGACACUAAUAACUGCUAUCAGCUGAUCAGUGAGAUCGAAAGGCUGAUUAAAAGGGGACACUUGUGAAACUUUGUGAAAAACCCAAAAGGAGAAAGACCUCAACAAAACCCCACCACAGAAAGACCCCGGAGGCCAGGGACAUGAUAGGUUAAUGACUGUUCCAGUGGAACCAUCAAUAUGUUAGUUGGAGGGAUGGGAGGUCAGAUGAGCAGGAGAGGGAGAAAAAGGGGGCGAGAUGGGGAGGCUGUAGUACUGAAGUCAUGCAAGUGGCAGAACAUUCCUUAAUGGUCAUCUUUUUCUCUCUGAAAGAUGCCCGCGGUGUUCAGAUGUCGCACGGUGAUGCUCUGGUUGUUGAAGCCAUCAUCCAUAAUUACCGAGUCAGGAAAAUCCUGGUGGACGAUGGGAGCAAGGUAAACUUAUUACCGUACAGGGUUUUCCAGCAAAUAGGGAUUCCUGAAGAGCAGCUGGUUCGGGAUUAGGCCCCGGUGAAAGGGAUUGGAGGAGUUCCCGUACCUGUGGAAGGAAAAGUGAAAUUGGCUUUGACCCUCGGGGAAGCCCCUUUAGCUAGAACUCACUACGCAAUGUUCCUGGUAGUAAAGCUUCCUUUGAAUUCUAACACCAUACUGGGAAGGCCGGUCCUGUACGAUUUUGAGGUGGUAACCAGCAUAAGGUACCUAGCUAUGAAGUUCCCAAUUGAAGCAGGAGUAGGAGUGGUUAGAGGAUGCCAAGAAGAGGCGAGAGCAGUAUAGCUGGCCACAAUAUCAGAAUCGAGCUCGGCAGGAGAAAAGUUUGACUCAGAAGUCCUAGAAGUCCGAGACGAGAAGAAAGAAGCUAGAAUGGAGUCGGUGGGAGAAAUGGAAACCUUCCCCUUAUUAGAGGCAAAGGCGGAUAAGGUCUUCAGUCUUAAUGCUGGCUUGACUAGAGAGCAGAAAACUGAAGUCAUGGCUCUAAUACGAGGUCACGCAUUAAGCUUCGCCUGGAAACCAUCUGACAUGCCUAGGAUAGACCCGAAGGUGAUGACUCACAAGUUGAACGUCCUCCCAGAAGCCAAACUGGUGAAACAGAAGAAAAGGGUGGUGGGAAGAGAGAAGCAACAAGCCACUAGGGAGGAAGUACAAAAGCUUGAAGAAGUAGGGUUUAUCAGGGAAGUAAUGUACCCACAAUGGUUAGCAAAUCCUGUAUUAGUCAAAAAAGCAAAUGGCAAGUAUAGGAUGUGUAUAGAUUUUACUGACCUCAACCAGGCAUGCCCCAAAGAUUGUUAUCCCCUCCCCGAUAUAAAUAAAAUGGUCGAUUCUAUGGUCGGUUUUGAUUAUAUGUCGUCUCUGGAUGCAAUGUCGGGUUAUCACCAAAUUCCAAUGGACAGGUCGGAUGAGGAGAAGACCUCAUUUAUAACAGAAGAUGGGACCUAUUGUUAUAGAGCCAUGCUUUUGGUCUAAAGAAUGUCGGGGCCACAUACCAUAGACUAAUGAAUAAAAUUUUCAAAGACUAGAUUGGUAGGAAUGUCGAAGUGUACGUGGACGACAUGGUGGUAAAAAGCCCAACUUUUCAGCAACAUUUGAUAGAGCUGAGGGAGGUGUUCGAGGUAUUGGAACAAUAUAGAAUGAGGCUGAAUCCAGCAAAAUGUGCUUUCUUCAUCAGGGGAGGAAAGUUCUUGGGGUACAUGGUGAGUGGAAAAGGUAUCGAGCCUAACCCCGAAAAGGUGGAAGCCAUCCUGAAAAUGCUCGAGCCGACCUGUGUAAGGGACGUCCAGAGACUUACUGGAAGGGUGGUAGCGCUCAAUCGCUUCAUGUCGAGGUCAGCAGAGAGAUGCUUGCCGUUUUUUUAGGAAGUUGAGGAAAGUUCCAAACUUUGAAUGUACUGAAGACUGUCGAGAAGGUUUGACUUGCGGUUGUCGAAGCCGGUCAAAAAUAACCUCUACGGUUAUCAACAAUUUUACAACUGCAGAUAGUGGUAAAGAAUCGAAUCCACAGAGAAUUAAAUACUUAUUUAUUUUUCUCAAACAAGAUCAACUGAAAGCACAAUUGGGGGUAAGUAUCUGAAGGCAGAUCAAAAGUAAAGUGCAAUAAAGUAAAGAGGGGUUUUGAGAUUGAUUCGACUAACAACUAUUAAAAACAAUUAAAACAGCAAAUAAUUAAAAUAGAAGAGGAAAUCAAUAUGAGAAAGGUCUGGUUGAAGAUAUGGAUCCACCUUGGUUGUUUGGAUUGAUCAUUGAAACUUAUGUUCUCUUAAUUGGUUCAAUAGAUUGGUUAUGGGGAUGGAAAACGCUUCUCACCACCAUGUCUCUCCUUAUGAUUAAAUCAAUUAGGGAACGUCCUCUAAUCAAUUACUAAUUAACAAAUUACCAAGGAACGUCCUUAGGCCUUAGGCAUCAAAACAAUUGUCAAUUGCAUGAAGAAAGAGAUAGAUCCAACCCUAGCUACUCAAACGCAUGAGAUGUUGCUAGAUCAUACAAUUCCUUAGUUUUUUUUUUUUACACCAAGUGUUCUUAGGUCAGAAUAUUUCCAGCAAUUACGGACUAAAAAAUAUCCCAACUAACAAUCAAUUAACUUUGCAAUCAAGAAUCAAGUGGCCAAUUUGAUCAAAACAACAAAGCAAUCUUAGAUUCAAGCACACAAUUGCAUGAAUAUUGAACUAAUCAAAGACAAAUAUUUUAUAUUCAGAUCUCACAAUCCAUAAAACAACCUUAGUUUCAACCAAUCCUCAACUAGAAUUAAGGGUUUCAGCCACUCAUGACUCCUUUUGAAUUUUGAAUGUGCAUGGCAUGAAGUGGGAAACAUAUGAUCUUCAAGAUUUGGCUUCUUGAAUAAGGAAGAGGCAGUUCGGGGGGACUUUCAGCUGCCUAAGCUUAUUUUUGGAAGCUGGACUUUCGGCUCUGGAGCAGACUUUCGGCUCUGGAGCAGACUUUCGGCCGCCGAAGGUGCCGCCGAAGAUAGGUGACUUUCGGCUCUGGACGAGGCUUUCGGCCGUCGAAGGUGCUUCUGAAGGUGGCUUUUCCAGAUUUGGCACUUUUUGGCAGUUUUAAUAGUAUUUUCUCUUGAUUGUCUCUUUACACCUAAUAUCUUCAAAAUAUGAUUAAAACCACAAAAUUAGGUAGGAAAGGUGUAAAUAAACAUCAAUAAGAUCAUGAUAAUAUGGACUAAAAUAUGCUCUAUCAAAUACCCCCCACACUUAGCCUUUUGCUUGUCCUCAAGCAAAUAAACAUAGUUAAAUAAGCUUUAUUUGCUCUAGAUCCUUAUUUUCACUUAAGCUCUUACUCUAGACACCUAUUUUGAAUCAUUGUAGUGAAGAAUAUAUGCAUGAAAAUUACUUACCUUCUUUCCUUGUUUCCCUUUGCUUACCAUGGCUAGGAUUUGUUUUCCUCAAGAGAGACCAUACAUGCACAUUAAUUUGUUAAGACUUUUUUUAGCUUUUGGAUUGACUUGCCCUUACCUUGAAGUACUUUAUUCAGGCUUUUGCACUUAGAUUUUCCUUGAAAAAGUCACCAACCUUUUGACGUGAAGGUACAUAUUUGUGAUACCCACCCCCAGUUACUCAGUUGGUCACCUUUCCAAGUGGCUACUAGCUUUGUUCAGUCUUUUGACCAUUGGAACAGUUUUUGAUUUUGUGCUUUUGAGGUCUUUGCCUUUGCUGAAUUUUCUUUCUCUCAAUGAUUUGGGCAAAUCAACACCAAUUGCUAAAUCAAGUCACAUUAAGUUCAUUUCACACAACUUUCAAUUCAUUCUCUCAAUUGAGGGUCAUCAAUAUAUUUUUCACCAUGGCAAACUCAAAGAUUCAAUUCAAAAGGCAAUUCUCAAACAUGAAUAUAACUCACUGCAAUUGAUUUAACAUAAGUUUAAAGAGUCAUCACAUCAAUGGGGUCAUGGAAAGAAAAACUCAUCCAACAUAGUUCAUCAGUUUGAGUAGAGGAAAACAAAAAGAAGAAGAAGGUUGUGGUUGUGUGUAUUUUAUUGAAAGCAUAAACUAAAAAUUUCAACUGUGGCUAUUUAAACUGAAAGAAACGCAAAACUGUAAGGAAAAGAAAAAAAAUUUGCAAUUUGAAAGCAUUGUGAAUUCGCAGAAGGAGAAAGGAAGAAGAAGAAGAAGAGAAGAGGAGAAGAAGAGAGAAGAAGAAGAAAGAAGAGAAGAGGAAAAGAAGAGAGAAGAAGAAGAAAGAAGAAGAAGAGAUAUGCACCCCCACACUUAAAUCAUGCAUUGUCCUCAAUGUAUAAGAAACAUAAAAGAACAAAGGAAACUGAAUACUCCCCUGGGGUGUGGUGCAUGUUGUGCGAUCCACUUAGGCUGAAUGAGUGACGAACAGAUGUUCGUCUAGGAAUUCUUCUUUGAUUGGACAAGGUGUAGAGCUAGAUGGAAACCAGCUGAGGUGGUCAGCUACAAGAUUUUCUUUCCCUUUCUUGUCUCUUAUCUCCAGAUCAAACUCUUGUAAUAGAAGGAUCCACCGAAUGAGUCUCGGUUUUGCUUCCUUUUUCUUGAUCAAAUAUCGCAAAGCUGCAUGGUCAGAGUAAACAAUGACUUUAGUGCCCAAGAGGUAUGGUCUGAAUUUCUCUAAAGCAAACACAACAGCUAAGAGCUCUUUUUCUGUUGUUGUGUAGUUGCUUUGUGUGGCAUCCAAGGUGCGAGAGGCAUAGUGAAUGACGUGGGGUGAAUUUUCCACACGUUGCCCCAAGACUGCUCCCACUGCAUAAUUGCUUGCAUCACACAUGAUUUCAAAUGGCACGUUCCAAUCAGGUGCUUGAAUAAUUGGGGCAGUCACAAGCAAUUCUUUAAUCAGAUCAAAUGCUCUUUCGCAAUCUGCAUCAAAAUCAAAUGUAACAUCUUGUUGAAGCAAUUUACAUAAUGGUUGUGUGAUUUUGGAAAAAUCUUUUAUGAAUCUUCUGUAGAAUCCUGCAUGGCCAAGGAAGGAACGGAUGUCUUUAACAUUUAUAGGGUAAGGCAGAUUUUUAAUUGUGUCUACCUUGGCCUUGUCCACUUCAAUUCCUUUAGCUGAAACAACAUGUCCUAAAACCAUACCUUGAUUAACCAUAAAGUGACAUUUUUCAUAAUUAAGCACAAGGUUAGAUUCAAGGCAUCUCUGUAGGAUCUUUUCCAAGUUAGCAAGGCAUUCCUCAAAAGAGUUAACCAUGUACUGUGAAAUCAUCCAUGAACACUUCAAUUGUCUUACCCACAUAGUCAAAGAAUAUACUCAUCAUGCAUCGCUGAAAGGUGGCAGGUGCAUUGCAAAGUCCAAAUGGCAUUCUUCUAAAGGCAAAAGUGCCAAAAGGACAAGUGAAGGUGGUCUUCUCUUGGUCCUCCAGAGCAACUGGAAUUUGAUAAAAACCUAAAUAACCAUCAAGACAACAAUAAUGGGACUUACCUGCAAGCCUUUCUAGCACCUGAUCAAUGAAAGGAAGUGGAAAGUGGUCUUUCCUUGUUGCAGCAUUGAGCUUCCUAUAGUCCAUGCACACUCUCCAUCCAUUCUGAACUCUUGUGGGAACAAGUUCUCCUUUAGCAUUUGGAACAAUGGUAAUCCCAGUUUUCUUUGGGACUACAUGCACAGGACUCACCUAUUUGCUAUCAGAGAUUGGGUAUAUGAUACCUGCAUCAAGGAGCUUGACUAUUUCUUUCUUUACUACCUCCAUCAUAGGUGGAUUCAAUCUUCUUUGAGCAUCUCUGACUGGCUUGCAUUCAUCCUCCAUGUGUAUUCUAUGCAUGCAUGUGGAAGGAGAAAUACCUUUGAUGUCAUCUAUGGUCCACCCAAUGGCUCCUUUAUGCUUCUGUAGCACUUUCAGGAGGCUUGCUUCUUCAUGUUGGCUUAACUCAUUGGACACUAUCACUGGUAGUGUCUUAUUAGCUCCCAAGUACAUGUAUUUUAGAUGGUCUGUAAGAGGCUUCAGAUCUGAUUUCGGUACUUUCUGACUUGAUUGCAAGGGAGGACUGGAAGAGCUUGCUUGUGUUGGAGGCUGUGGAGCAAGGUCCGGCGGCCGAAGUAUGUCUGUAUUCGGCGGCCGAGAGUCAGUUGAGUUCGGAGGCCGAGAGAUCAUGGCUUCAGUCUGUGCUGGGGGCUGAGGUGAAAGAUUCGGCGUCUGAAAGGCAGUUGGAUUCGGCGGCCGAAGGAGGUCUGGAUUCGGCUGCCGAAAGUCUUCAGUCUGCGCAACAUCAAUCUGUUGGAUACUGCAAACAGUUUCUUUCAGUUUUAGCUCGUUCUGGCUCUCAAUUUGUACCAGAUCAGUAUCUCUGCAGAAAUCACUAUUAAGAAUAUUAUCUUGAUUUUCAUCAAAAAUUUUCUGGCUCAAACAGUCAACAAUAUCAAGACCAUAAACAGGGGACAUAUCAUGUGGAUAUUUCAUGGCAUCAUAGACAUUAAACUUAAUCACUUCCCCUUCAAACUCCAUAGUCAAAGUACCAUCAUGCACAUUAAUCUUAGUCCUAGCAGUACUCAAGAAAGGACGUCCAAGAAGGAUGUCAGAACUAGCAUUGCAACUAUCUUCCUUAGUAUCAAUCACAUAAAAAUCUGCAGGAAAGACAAGUUCAUCUACUUGAACUAACACAUCUUUCAGAACACCUAUGGGAUAUACCACAGAUCUAUUAGCUAAUUGAAUCACAACUUUUGUGUCUUUCAGUGCACAUGCAUUCAGAGAUUUAUAGAUGGAAAGAGGCAUGACAUUUAUAGAUGCACCAAGAUCACACAUGGCUUUCUUAAUUCCAACAUUCUCAAUCUUGCAAGAGAUAGCAAACAUACCUUUGUCUUUGCAUUUAGUAGGUGAUAGAGCAUAUUUUAGUCCAUAUUAUCAUGAUCUUAUUGAUGUUUAUUUACAACUUUUCUACCUAAUUUUGUGGUUUAAAUCAUGUUUUGCAGAUAUUAGGUGUAAAGGAACACUUUGGAGAAAAUGCUCUUAAAAAUACCAAAAAGUGCCAAAACCGGAAAAGCCACAUUCGGAAGCACUUUCGGAAGCCAAAAAUCAGUCAUCUUCAGAAGCACCUUCGGCGGCCGAAAGUCUGGUCCAGAGCCAAAAGUGACCCAUCUUCGGCAGCACCUUCGGCCGCUGAACCUUUGCUCCAGAGCCGAAAGUCCAGCCCCAAAACUAGACUUAGGCGGCCGGAAGUCCCUCCGAACAGCCUCCUCCUUGUUCAAUAAGCCAAAUCUUGAAGAUCACAUGUUUCUCACUUUAUGCCAUGCACAUUCAAAAUUCAAAUCAAGGCUCCACCUUCCUCUUUAGUGCAUGAAUAAUGUGAAGAAGGCUUCUUGGACACACUUGGACAACAAUUAAAAGACCAAAAAGGGCUUGCAACUCCACAUAUGCACAUAGAAGACACAAGAGCACUUUGGGCAGCCUCCAAAAGAUGCAUGGGCAUCCAAGAAACCCUAGGCAGCCUCCCAAGACCUAUUUAAAGGCUUCAAGAAGACAAGAAGAGGCAGAUUUUGAUCCACACAACUCAUCCAAGGCUCUCCAAGGCUUCUCCCCUUUGGUUCUUCAUCUUCUUGCUUUCUUUUUUUUUUUUAUUUUCUGUUUUGGUUCAGCCAUGAGUGGCUGAAACCCUUAAUUCUAGUUGAAGUUUGGUUGAAACUAAGGUUGUUUAAAGGGUUGUGAGAUCUGAACAUAAAGUGUUUGCUUUUGAUUAGUUCAAUAUUCAUGUAAUUGUGCUUAAUUCUAAGAUUGCUUUGUUGUUUUGAUCAAAUUGACCACUUGAUUCUUGAUUGCAAAG
rnacentral:lncRNA from 1 species